rnacentral:rRNA from 1 species
GCUCAGGACGAACGCUGGCGGCGUGCUUAACACAUGCAAGUCGAACGAUGAAGCCCUUCGGGGUGGAUUAGUGGCGAACGGGUGAGUAACACGUGGGCAAUCUGCCCUUCACUCUGGGACAAGCCCUGGAAACGGGGUCUAAUACCGGAUAACACUCCUGCUCUCAUGGGCAGGGGUUGAAAGCUCCGGCGGUGAAGGAUGAGCCCGCGGCCUAUCAGCUUGUUGGUGAGGUAAUGGCUCACCAAGGCGACGACGGGUAGCCGGCCUGAGAGGGCGACCGGCCACACUGGGACUGAGACACGGCCCAGACUCCUACGGGAGGCAGCAGUGGGGAAUAUUGCACAAUGGGCGAAAGCCUGAUGCAGCGACGCCGCGUGAGGGAUGACGGCCUUCGGGUUGUAAACCUCUUCAGCAGGGAAGAAGCGAAAGUGACGGUACCUGCAGAAGAAGCGCCGGCUAACUACGUGCCAGC